GGGCAUUUUUUUGAUCAUUUUCCCCCUAGGUACAGCAGAUAAUGGCAAAUUCAGUGGGACUUGGUAAGAGAAUUUCAUCAGAAGCAAUAAACAGACUCAUAGAGGCAUUAAAUGGAACGGAUAAUGGAGUUGGAAUAAAUAUGAAAUAA
rnacentral:lncRNA from 1 species